AGACCCGAAACCCGGUGAUCUAGCCAUGGGCAGGUUGAAGGUUGGGUAACACUAACUGGAGGACCGAACCGACUAAUGUUGAAAAAUUAGCGGAUGACCUGUGGCUGGGGGUGAAAGGCCAAUCAAACCGGGAGAUAGCUGGUUCUCCCCGAAAGCUAUUUAGGUAGCGCCUCGUGAAUUCAUCUCCGGGGGUAGAGCACUGUUUCGGCUAGGGGGCCAUCCCGGCUUACCAACCCGAUGCAAACUGCGAAUACCGGAGAAUGUUAUCACGGGAGACACACGGCGGGUGCUAACGUCCGUCGUGAAGAGGGAAACAACCCAGACCGCCAGCUAAGGUCCCAAAGUCAUGGUUAAGUGGGAAACGAUGUGGGAAGGCCCAGACAGCCAGGAUGUUGGCUUAGAAGCAGCCAUCAUUUAAAGAAAGCGUAAUAGCUCACUGGUCGAGUCGGCCUGCGCGGAAGAUGUAACGGGGCUAAACCAUGCACCGAAGCUGCGGCAGCGACGCUUAUGCGUUGUUGGGUAGGGGAGCGUUCUGUAAGCCUGUGAAGGUGUGUCGUGAGGCAUGCUGGAGGUAUCAGAAGUGCGAAUGCUGACAUAAGUAACGAUAAAGCGGGUGAAAAGCCCGCUCGCCGGAAGACCAAGGGUUCCUGUCCAACGUUAAUCGGGGCAGGGUGAGUCGACCCCUAAGGCGAGGCCGAAAGGCGUAGUCGAUGGGAAACAGGUUAAUAUUCCUGUACUUGGUGUUACUGCGAAGGGGGGACGGAGAAGGCUAUGUUGGCCGGGCGACGGUUGUCCCGGUUUAAGCGUGUAGGUGUGUGUUCCAGGUAAAUCCGGUUCACUUUAACACUGAGGCGUGAUGACGAGGCACUACGGUGCUGAAGCAACAAAUGCCCUGCUUCCAGGAAAAGCCUCUAAGCAUCAGGUAACAUCAAAUCGUACCCCAAACCGACACAGGUGGUCAGGUAGAGAAUACCAAGGCGCUUGAGAGAACUCGGGUGAAGGAACUAGGCAAAAUGGUGCCGUAACUUCGGGAGAAGGCACGCUGACACGUAGGUGAAGUGAUUUACUCAUGGAGCUGAAGUCAGUCGAAGAUACCAGCUGGCUGCAACUGUUUAUUAAAAACACAGCACUGUGCAAACACGAAAGUGGACGUAUACGGUGUGACGCCUGCCCGGUGCCGGAAGGUUAAUUGAUGGGGUCAGCGCAAGCGAAGCUCCUGAUCGAAGCCCCGGUAAACGGCGGCCGUAACUAUAACGGUCCUAAGGUAGCGAAAUUCCUUGUCGGGUAAGUUCCGACCUGCACGAAUGGCGUAAUGAUGGCCAGGCUGUCUCCACCCGAGACUCAGUGAAAUUGAACUCGCUGUGAAGAUGCAGUGUACCCGCGGCAAGACGGAAAGACCCCGUGAACCUUUACUAUAGCUUGACACUGAACAUUGAGCCUUGAUGUGUAGGAUAGGUGGGAGGCUUUGAAGUGU
rnacentral:rRNA from 1 species